rnacentral:rRNA from 1 species
AGAGUUUGAUCCUGGCUCAGGAUGAACGCUAGCUACAGGCUUAACACAUGCAAGUCGAGGGGCAGCGGGAUUGAAGCUUGCUUCAAUUGCCGGCGACCGGCGCACGGGUGAGUAACGCGUAUCCAACCUUCCGUACACUCAGGGAUAGCCUUUCGAAAGAAAGAUUAAUACCUGAUGGUAUCUUAAGCACACAUGUAAUUAAGAUUAAAGAUUUAUCGGUGUACGAUGGGGAUGCGUUCCAUUAGGUAGUAGGCGGGGUAACGGCCCACCUAGCCAACGAUGGAUAGGGGUUCUGAGAGGAAGGUCCCCCACAUUGGAACUGAGACACGGUCCAAACUCCUACGGGAGGCAGCAGUGAGGAAUAUUGGUCAAUGGACGAGAGUCUGAACCAGCCAAGUAGCGUGAAGGAUGAAGGUCCUACGGAUUGUAAACUUCUUUUAUAAGGGAAUAAACCCUCCCACGUGUGGGAGCUUGUAUGUACCUUAUGAAUAAGCAUCGGCUAACUCCGUGCCAGCAGCCGCGGUAAUACGGAGGAUGCGAGCGUUAUCCGGAUUUAUUGGGUUUAAAGGGAGCGCAGACGGGUCGUUAAGUCAGCUGUGAAAGUUUGGGGCUCAACCUUAAAAUUGCAGUUGAUACUGGCGUCCUUGAGUGCGGUUGAGGUGUGCGGAAUUCGUGGUGUAGCGGUGAAAUGCUUAGAUAUCACGAAGAACUCCGAUUGCGAAGGCAGCUCACUGGAGUGUAACUGACGCUGAUGCUCGAAAGUGUGGGUAUCAAACAGGAUUAGAUACCCUGGUAGUCCACACGGUAAACGAUGGAUACUCGCUGUUGGCGAUAUACAGUCAGCGGCUUAGCGAAAGCGUUAAGUAUCCCACCUGGGGAGUACGCCGGCAACGGUGAAACUCAAAGGAAUUGACGGGGGCCCGCACAAGCGGAGGAACAUGUGGUUUAA